AAACCUUUACACUGCACGCACGUCGAUAAGGGAACUCCGAGUGCGAGGGCAUACCGUCCUCGCUUUCCUGUACCGUAGGUGGUACAGCAACAAGGGCUGGGCAAGACCGGUGCCAGCCGCCGCGGUAAUACCGGCAGCCCGAGUGAUGGCCGAUGUUAUUGGGCCUAAAGCGUCCGUAGCUGGCCGGGUAGGUCCGUCGGGAAAUCCACUGGCCCAACCAGUGGGCGGCCGGCGGAAACCACCUGGCUCGGGACCGGAAGACCCGAGGGGUACGUCCGGGGUAGGAGUGAAAUCCCGUAAUCCUGGACGGACCGCCGAUGGCGAAAGCACCUCGGGAGGACGGAUCCGACAGUGAGGGACGAAAGCUAGGGUCUCGAACCGGAUUAGAUACCCGGGUAGUCCUAGCCGUAAACGAUGCUCGCUAGGUGUGCCGCCGACUACGAGUCGGCGUGUGCCGUAGGAAGCCGCUAAGCGAGCCGCCUGGGAAGUACGUCCGCAAGGAUGAAACUUAAAGGAAUUGGCGGGGGAGCACUACAACCGGAGGAGCUGCGGUUUAAUUGGACUCAACGCCGGACAUCUCACCAGCUCCGACAGUAGCGAUGACGUUCAGUGUGAUGAGCUCGACAGAGCUACUGAGAGGAGGUGCAUGGCCGCCGUCAGCUCGUACCGUGAGGCGUCCUGUUAAGUCAGGCAACGAGCGAGACCCGCAUUCCUAAUUGCCAGCAUCACCACGCGGUGGAUGGGUACAUUAGGAAGACUGCCGCGCCAAGGCGGAGGACGGAGCGGGCAACGGUAGGUCAGUAUGCCCCGAAUGAGCUGGGCUACACGCGGGCUACAAUGGCCGAGACAGUGGGUUCCCACCCCGAAAGGGGGCGGUAAUCUCCUAAACUCGGUCGUAGUUCGGAUUGAGGGCUGAAACUCGCCCUCAUGAAGCUGGAUUCGGUAGUAGUCGCCUUUCAGAAGAAGGCGGCGAAUACGUCCCUGCUCCUUCCACUCACCGCCCGUCAA
rnacentral:rRNA from 1 species